rnacentral:rRNA from 1 species
UACGUAGGGUGCAAGCGUUGUCCGGAAUCAUUGGGCGUAAAGAGCGUGUAGGCGGCUUGGUAAGUCCGCUGUGAAAGUCCAGGGCUCAACCCUGGAAUGCCGGUGGAAACUGUCAAGCUUGAGUCCGGAAGAGGCGAGUGGAAUUCCUGGUGUAGCGGUGAAAUGCGCAGAUAUCAGGAGGAACACCAAUGGCGAAGGCAGCUCGCUGGGACGGUACUGACGCUGAGACGCGAAAGCGUGGGGAGCAAACAGG